rnacentral:rRNA from 1 species
UAAUACCGGAUAAGAAAGACGGAUCGCAUGAUCAGCUUUUAAAAGGACGGCGUAAGCUGUCGCUAUGGGAUGGCCCCGCGGUGCAUUAGCUAGUUGGUAAGGUAAAGGCUUACCAAGGCGAUGAUGCAUAGCCGAGUUGAGAGACUGAUCGGCCACAUUGGGACUGAGACACGGCCCAAACUCCUACGGGAGGCAGCAGAG